rnacentral:rRNA from 1 species
UGGGGAAUUUUGGACAAUGGGGGAAACCCUGAUCCAGCCAUCCCGCGUGUGCGAUGAAGGCCUUCGGGUUGUAAAGCACUUUUGGCAGGAAAGAAACGUCAUGGGUUAAUACCCCGUGAAACUGACGGUACCUGCAGAAUAAGCACCGGCUAACUACGUGCCAGCAGCCGCGGUAAUACGUAGGGUGCAAGCGUUAAUCGGAAUUACUGGGCGUAAAGCGUGCGCAGGCGGUUCGGAAAGAAAGAUGUGAAAUCCCGGAGCUCAACGUUGGAACUGCAUUUUUAACUACCGGGCUAGAGUGUGUCAGAGGGAGGUGGAAUUCCGCGUGUAGCAGUGAAAUGCGUAGAUAUGCGGAGGAACACCGAUGGCGAAGGCAGCCUCCUGGGAUAACACUGACGCUCAUGCACGAAAGCGUGGGGAGCAAACAGG